AAGCAAUGCAUGCUGUUCUCAGCAACGAUGCCAUCGUGGGUCAAUGAACUCUCAAGGAAGUAUUUGCGAAAUCCGUUGGUAAUUGAUCUUGUUGGUGAUUCUGAACAAAAGUUAGCCGAUGGUAUUUCUCUCUAUUCAGUUGCAUCAACCAAUCAUAAUAAGCAAAGUCUCCUUCCCACUUUGAUUUCCACAUAUGCACAAGGAGGUAAAAGCAUAAUAUUUACACAAACAAAGAAAGGUGCUGAAGCACUUUCAAAGACAAUGGGAAGCAUAAU
rnacentral:misc_RNA from 1 species